AUACCAACAAAAAAUACAAACGGGACGGCCAACAUCCAUACGUAUGGCAAAGUCGCCCCUAUUAAAUUAAAGCCAUUGACUAAAGGGGAAAAAAAAAAGCCAUUGACCGGGGAAGAGUGAAGCUGAGCUGAGGCAGGUGGGAGGGGUUUAGGAUAAGUGAGAGGAGGAGGGGGAUGAUGAUGUUGCUGCAAGGUUGGAGCUUUUCGAUGCAUUCGAGAGUUGUGGUGUCCAACAGCGAAAGGUAUGGCGAGAUGAGGAAGCACGUAUUCCGUCCUCACUUGAGUGGUUCUGGUUCCUCCGGAGAAAUUCAACUUGGCCAAUACCACCACCACUUUCUCAGAAGCAACGCCGGCCCAACAUUAUCUUCUACAAGGACACUUAGUAGUAGCUGUUUCUCAACGCUGUGUGCUUCCAAUGUUGAAAUCGUUGACAUCGUCCACAACAAGGUUUUAAUAGCAGCAGCUGUAUCCGCGGCCCUUGGCCAACUCUCAAAGCCUUUUACUUCAGCGAUUCUCCACGGCAACAAAUUCGAUUUGAAGAGUGCCUUUCAGGCUGGAGGGCUCCCUUCUACGCACUCCUCUGAGGGGCUAGGGAGGGAAGAGCUCAACUUUGUAGCUUUUUGCCACACUGAUUUUUUUUUUCUUUUAAGUUAUAAAUAUGGUCAUUGAUUUCUAUCUAUUCCCACUCCACAGGCAGUUGUUGCGACUGCAACAAUCCUUGGCCUAGAAAGGGGUUUCUCUGAUGCAAUUUUUGGUUUAGCGGUUAUUUAUGCUGGCAUUGUUAUGUACGAUGCACAGGGUUCCUUUAGUUUGGAGUGGUUUUUAGGAGAAUGUCCUGACAAAAGCAUUUUUAGUCCACUGCAGCCAAAUUGCAAAAAAAAUUAAUGGUGUUACCUGAAUGGUGAAAUAGAAAUGCCUAGGAAAGCCAUAUCUGAGACUUUACUCCAUGCUGCACAUGGCGUGCUGGCAAACUAAGAAGCAUGGAUGCAGAUAUAAGAACAGAGACAAUUCCGGCCUGCAAUAGCCACAGUGGGUGUUAGAAGGGAAGUGGGAAGUCAAGCAAAAGUGUUAAACAGGGUUUUGUUCAGAAACAAUGUAGAGUCAUUUUCCUCUUGUGAUGUUAAUGAUUCUACUGAAUAUUUUCCAGAAGAAGUAUCUACAAAUAUAGAAACCUUUGACGCCAGCUCGUUGCGCAAAUUUAGAUCUUCUCAACUAAGAGUACCGAAUGCUCCAUUGCUGCUUAAAUCUGAAAACAGAACUUGGAGAAUGCCAAUCGUGAAAGGAGACUCAGAAAGCAUUCCUUUUGGUUGCACCCCACUGAAAGAAUCUGUUGGCCACACAGAGAUUGAAGUCAUUGCUGGUGCUCUGUUGGGUUUCUUUGUCAGUAUAGCGGUCAAUAGGAUAUGAUCUUUUUCUCAGUAUCAUUUACAUUGUGGCAAUUAGCUUUUGGAAGAGAUGGCUGCAUGUAUCACAAGAAGUCGUCAAAAUUCUUGAAUUGCUGCGGCUGAAAUUUGCAUUUCAAUUGUAUCAAUUCUUUGAAAGCAUUACAAUCCAUGUGCCGAAACUCUCUUAUCUCAUGGAGCUCCUUGUUGAUUAAGUCUUAUCAUCUGCUGAUGUAAUUUUGCAUGGCAGCAAACUGUUGAAGUCGGCAACAAACCAGUUAUAUUCUGUUGGUGUGCAUUGGAAAAGGUAAGAAAUGCCAAGUACCUUUUUUUU